rnacentral:rRNA from 1 species
UACGGAGGGUGCAAGCGUUAUCCGGAUUUACUGGGUUUAAAGGGUGCGUAGGUGGGCAGGAAAGUCAGUGGUGAAAUCUUCGGGCUUAACCCGGAAACUGCCAUUGAUACUAUUUAUCUUGAAUACUUUGGAGGUAAGCGGAAUAUGUCAUGUAGCGGUGAAAUGCUUAGAUAUGACAUAGAACACCAAUUGCGAAGGCAGCUUACCACACAGUUAUUGACACUGAGGCACGAAAGCGUGGGGAUCAAACAGG